rnacentral:tRNA from 1 species
GGGCGGUUAGCUCAGCUGGUUAGAGCACUGCAUUCACAUUGCAGGGGUCACUGGUUCGAAUCCAGUACCGCCCA